rnacentral:pre_miRNA from 1 species
CUUGUACUCCCUCCGUCCAAAAAUACUUGUCAUUGAAAUGGAUGCAUCUAGAUGUAUUUUAGUUCUAGACACAUCCAUUUUGAUGACAAGUAAUUCCGGAUGGAGGGAGUACUUG